rnacentral:rRNA from 1 species
UACGGGGGGGGCAAGCGUUGUUCGGAAUUACUGGGCGUAAAGGGCGUGUAGGCGGCCUUCUAAGUCGGACGUGAAAUCCCUCGGCUCAACCGGGGAACUGCGUCCGAUACUGGAGGGCUUGAAUUCGGGAGAGGGAUGCGGAAUUCCAGGUGUAGCGGUGAAAUGCGUAGAUAUCUGGAGGAACACCGGUGGCGAAGGCGGCAUCCUGGACCGAUAUUGACGCUAAAGCGCGAAAGCCAGGGGAGCAAACGGG